UUUCAAGAAUAUAAUUAUAUUCGUUAAAAAUUCUGUCUGGGUCGAAUUUUUUAUAUAAAAUGCUGCAAAUUAUUUCUCGAUUUCUACUGGUAAUCAUCGUUGUCACUUUAGCCUGUUCUUCCAUAAUUCGAUGCCGGGAAACAAAAGCAGCAGAGUAUGUUUCAAAUGGACGCAGGACCACUUUACCCCGUUCAACUAGACCCUAUCUAAUUCAUCAAAAUCUGCGAUACGUUUUUGAUGCUCCUGAAACUUGAAGGCGCAUUGAUUGUCGGAAUUACAAUGUGGCUGCAAUGGAAUAAAAAUUUAAUACACACAUAUAUAUAUCAAACAUUCAAUUUAUUUCAAAUUUUCUUUAUGUGCUUCCGUUGAAAAAUUAUAUAAA